rnacentral:rRNA from 1 species
CUGACGUUAGCGGCGGACGGGUGAGUAACACGUGGGUAACCUACCUAUAAGACUGGGAUAACUCCGGGAAACCGGGGCUAAUACCGGAUAACACAUGAAACCGCAUGGUUUCAUGAUGAAAGACGGUUUUGCUGUCACUUAUAGAUGGACCCGCGGCGUAUUAGCUAGUUGGUAAGGUAACGGCUUACCAAGGCAACGAUACGUAGCCGACCUGAGAGGGUGAUCGGCCACACUGGAACUGAGACACGGUCCAG